rnacentral:snoRNA from 1 species
UUAUAAUGAUGAUCAUAAUCUUUGGUCCGUGUUUAUGAGGUGGAUUCAAGACCCACCGUGUGAGUGACAAAGAAGAUUCAAAUCUAUUUACUGAUUUA